rnacentral:rRNA from 2 species
AUACNUGCAGUCGACGCGUUGGCCCAAUUGAUUGAUGGUGCUUGCACCUGAUUGAUUUUGGUCGCCAACGAGUGGCGGACGGGUGAGUAACACGUAGGUAACCUGCCCAGAAGCGGGGGACAACAUUUGGAAACAGAUGCUAAUACCGCAUAACAACGUUGUUCGCAUGAACAACGCUUAAAAGAUGGCUUCUCGCUAUCACUUCUGGAUGGACCUGCGGUGCAUUAGCUUGUUGGUGGGGUAAUGGCCUACCAAGGCGAUGAUGCAUAGCCGAGUUGAGAGACUGAUCGGCCACAAUGGGACUGAGACACGGCCCAUACUCCUACGGGAGGCAGCAGUAGGGAAUCUUCCACAAUGGGCGCAAGCCUGAUGGAGCAACACCGCGUGAGUGAAGAAGGGUUUCGGCUCGUAAAGCUCUGUUGUUAAAGAAGAACACGUAUGAGAGUAACUGUUCAUACGUUGACGGUAUUUAACCAGAAAGUCACGGCUAACUACGUGCCAG